CUAAACACAUAUGUAAACCGACACUAGAAUCAGUAACUUACAAAACCCAUAAGAAAUCAUGAACCAAUAAAGCAUCAACACCCCACAAAAGGUAGUAAAAAAGAAAAAAAAAAUAGAAAAAUCAAUAAAGAGAGAGAGAUAAUAAAGUUAGCAAAAUCUCAGCCGCAAAUGGAUGUCUCACCAUUUAUGAGCAUUUAGAGAGAAGAACAAGAGUGGGAGAAGAAAAGAGGAGAGAGAGUGAGAGGAAGCAUGUGAUGUGUGCAAAGCGAAGUACCAAGUUGGGAGAUGGGGAGGGGUCAAACUGCCUUUCACCAGCUUCAACUUUUUUGGACGAUUCAUUCAUUAUCGAGGAAAAAGCAUGAUUUUAUUAUUUAUA